rnacentral:lncRNA from 1 species
GUGCUAUAAAUUGGAUUCCCUAGUUGAUGAAAUCUAAUGUAUGCAUAAGGACAUGUAAACUGUCAAUGACAUGCUGAUUCAUCUGCAAUAAUUGUGAAAUAAUCAGAGUCACACAGUGCAUGAGAUGCGUGAUGGACAAUUUGUCUAUGAUCGAUGAUUAAGAACAUUGAAGAGCUUGAAUAGCUCGACAUGAUCAUGCAUAAAAAAUUGCUAAUAGAUUUAAUCCCUGCAAUCUCUGAUUCAUAUGAAUAGUUUGUAAAACUAUUAUAUGAAUAAAUAUUAUAAUACCUUAACUGAAUUAAUCGAUAUGCUGGUAACUAAGGGACCUUAAAAAGUUCAGAGAUAAAUACCUGAGAACCUGAAGAAACAUUGACACACCUUUGGAAGGUAUAUCAAAUUACUCAAAAUUGAUCUUACGUUUUCUCUUUUUCAUUUGACUCUAGUGCAUACUACGUACUUUAAUAUAAGAUCUAAGAAAAGAAGAAGACUGAGAAAAGGUAAAGUGACUCUUUUGAGUCGGCAAUGGUGCAAAAAUUGCACUAAACCGUGGGCACCUAAUCUCGAUGAUUACUGUUUGGAUUUAGUUCAUUAUCAUUGCAUGGUGAUGCAUUUGUGAACUUAUUUAAGCAAAUAGUGCAUGCCAUUGGAUCUAAGAGAUCCAAAACCAAAUAACCUGAAGUAUAUAGAUAGUUCUUUUGGCUAGAUCAUGUAUGAGAAAAAAUGAUUUGCCGAUCGAAGAAAAUGGACCUUUGGGCUCAUUGACUGUUAAGUCAUAUCUAGUAUGUGAAUCAUCUCUUUGAGGAUUAAUGACCAAGCUGUCCUUUGUAGAUCAAAAAUAUAAGACCACUGAGAUACUCUAGUACACAUGAUGCGUAUGGCCCAUUUGAUGAGCCAGACUAGGAGGUUAUCACUGCUUCAUCAUCUUUAUCGAUGAGAAGUCAUGAUAUACGUAUAUAUAUGUGAAAUACAAAUCUGAAAGACUUUGAAAGAUUCAAAGAAUUCAGAUGUGAAGUAGAAAAAGAUAAAUUGAAAAAUUUCUAAAGGUACUUCGAUCAGAUAGAGGAUGCAAUAUUGAAGAAAAAAUUUAUCGAUUAUCUAAAGAGAAUGACAUAAUUUCAUGAUGAAAUUCUCCUUAUACACCUCAGCUCAAUGGUGUAUAUGUGAGGAGCAAUGGUGCUAUAUGAGAUAUGGUCCGAUCCAUCAUGAAUGUCACUAAUUUAACUAUUGUUUCUUUAGGAGCAAGAUUUAAUUUCUGAAAUUUCAAUUAGAUUUUCUUUAAAGUUAGUUUCACCACACCAUAUAAAAUAUGAUAUGGUGGACAAGUUAGAGGAUAGGUCUGUGAAAGCUCACUUAUGGAGUAUCCCAAAAAAAUUUGGGAUGUCACUCUCUCCCCAGUGGCUCAUAAUGUAAUUGUGAGCAAUCAUACUGCUUUCUUGAAAAUAAUGGGAGGAUGAACUCAAAAAGAAAUCUCUAAAAAAUAAUGAGUCACAGGACCUACACAACCUAUUUAAGAUGAGCCAGUAUAUGCAGUACUUCCUCCACCUCAUAGAUCUAGUAGGAUCUCCCAUCCUUUAGAAAGGAUUCAGAGAAAGUAUUUCUCGAGGGAGGUUGGGAACAUAAGGAUGAUCCCAAAAAUCCUACAACGAUGUGAUAUGAAGAAUCAUAUAGUUACAUGAAGGUCAGUGGGAGGGUCCCAUACUGACAUCGAUUAUGAUAUGGUUACAUAUAUAAUUUUCUUAUCAAAGAUCUAGGUCAAAUAUUUUAGAAAUAAAAGGUCUAUAGAGAUAGAUCCUAAAAAGAUGUUUGUUUUUUCACAGACAAGUACAUAAAAGAGGUACUGAAAGGGUUCAGUAUUGAAACCUCCAAGAGGGAUCCAUUAUUCUCUUGGGCAUAGGUGCAUACUAUGUUACGUACUCGACUUGGUAUGUCUUGCUGUGAAAAUCACGGGCAGAUAUUAGUCGAAUUCAGACUGGGAGUAUUGGAUUGCUAUGAAAAUAUCCCUAAGUACUUAAGAAGCACUAAAAGAUUAUUCCUCGUCUUUGAAGAAGGGUUAGAGCUAAGAGUGGAAGGAUACACUGACGCUAAUGGUAGAAUGUCUACAUCAGUAUGUAUUCUUGAGUUUUGUUGGUUCGGUAUGUUGCAAGGGUUCCAGACAAUUGACCAAUAGAAGCUGAAUAUACUAUAGAUGUGCAGGAUGCAUUCUAAUUCUCAUGAUAGUUGCGAAACUGGAUGUCAUACCAUUGGAUGCUAUGACAUUAUACUGCAAAGAUAAUGAUCCAUAGCCAUCACUAAGGAGCCAAGGUCUCACCAGAAGUCCAUGCAUAUAAAAUAGGGAUAUACACGAUUACCUCAAAAAAAAUACAUGAAGGUACAGAGAGUAAACUCCACAUAAUAGUGGUAGGCCAAGUCACUUAGCCAGCUAAACACCGAAGCCUAUCUUCAGAAGAUGAAGCUCAGGUAUAUGGCAAAUUAGCUUUAGUGCAAGUGGGAGUUUGUUAGAUGUGUGUCCUAGAAGCCAAUCUUGACUGACACAUACUUUUCUCUAAGACAUAUUUUGUACUUGAUGGACAGUCUUUAUAACCAAUCAUAUCAUUUGUCUAUAAUUUAUCCUAAAAAUUAACAAAGAUAAUUUUGUAUAUUCUCAAGAUGUUGAGAAUUUGAGACAUAUAUCAUUAGUGAUUAAUUUCUAAAUGCUUCCGAUCAAAAGAUCGUUACAGAGGAUAGUGAUCAAUUCAUUUAAGAUCGGUGCAUGGAUCACCUCUCUUUGGGACAGAUAAAUCUCGAGUCUGCGGUGUAAAUACUGAGGUGAGAGUGCAGGUGGUUGUUAGAGCUUGCAUUGAGAUGACCAACACGAGAACCACUUGACUAUAUGUUUCUUUGGUCCCUAGCCAUUCGGAUCCUUACUGUGUAUGUUGGCUAUUGUAGGUUCAGGUUCGCUGGUUGGAGUAGGAUGCACCUAGAUGGAAUCUAUUGAUCUUGAUAGAAAAAAAAAAUUCUAUGCGAUUCGUAAGACUGAGUUCAGAAAAUUUUUGAUCAAAAUGAAUACUGAAAAAAAAAUUUACGAGAUUUACAUAUGAACUCGAGUCGAGCAAAUCUAGUAUAUGACUGACGAUGGGAUUUAACGAGUUCUCCAUGACCUCCAUCAAGUUGGGACUCACGAUAGAGAGAUUGUAUCACACGAUAACUGUACCUAGAAGUUUAUUUCUUCUAUUUUGCUGGGUUGCCACUACAUAUUGUUAGAUGUCACUGGUGAAUCGUGAGAACUCACUAAGAUCAUUUUCAGAUAAACGAUCCUUAUUGAGAUGAGUUGGAAUCCUUUCAGCCUAUCAAAAAGAGUUUC